UGCACCGAAGCUGCGGCAGCGACACUCAGGUGUUGUUGGGUAGGGGAGCGUUCUGUAAGCCUGCGAAGGUGGCCUGUGAGGGUUGCUGGAGGUAUCAGAAGUGCGAAUGCUGACAUAAGUAACGAUAAAGCGGGUGAAAAGCCCGCUCGCCGGAAGACCAAGGGUUCCUGUCCAACGUUAAUCGGGGCAGGGUGAGUCGACCCCUAAGGCGAGGCCGAAAGGCGUAGUCGAUGGGAAACGGGUUAAUAUUCCCGUACUUGGUGUUACUGCGAAGGGGGGACGGAGAAGGCUAUGUUGGCCGGGCGACGGUUGUCCCGGUUUAAGCGUGUAGGUGUGUGUUCCAGGUAAAUCCGGUUCACUUUAACACUGAGGCGUGAUGACGAGGCACUACGGUGCUGAAGCAACAAAUGCCCUGCUUCCAGGAAAAGCCUCUAAGCAUCAGGUAACAUCAAAUCGUACCCCAAACCGACACAGGUGGUCAGGUAGAGAAUACCAAGGCGCUUGAGAGAACUCGGGUGAAGGAACUAGGCAAAAUGGUGCCGUAACUUCGGGAGAAGGCACGCUGACAUGUAGGUGAAGUGAUUUACUCAUGGAGCUGAAGUCAGUCGAAGAUACCAGCUGGCUGCAACUGUUUAUUAAAAACACAGCACUGUGCAAACACGAAAGUGGACGUAUACGGUGUGACGCCUGCCCGGUGCCGGAAGGUUAAUUGAUGGGGUCAGCGCAAGCGAAGCUCCUGAUCGAAGCCCCGGUAAACGGCGGCCGUAACUAUAACGGUCCUAAGGUAGCGAAAUUCCUUGUCGGGUAAGUUCCGACCUGCACGAAUGGCGUAAUGAUGGCCAGGCUGUCUCCACCCGAGACUCAGUGAAAUUGAACUCGCUGUGAAGAUGCAGUGUACCCGCGGCAAGACGGAAAGACCCCGUGAACCUUUACUAUAGCUUGACACUGAACAUUGAGCCUUGAUGUGUAGGAUAGGUGGGAGGCUUUGAAGCGUGGACGCCAGUCUGCGUGGAGCCGACCUUGAAAUACCACCCUUUAAUGUUUGAUGUUCUAACGUGGACCCGU
rnacentral:rRNA from 1 species